rnacentral:rRNA from 1 species
GGUUCGAUCAUGGCUCAGAUUGAACGCUGGCGGAUGCUUACACAUGCAAGUCGAACGGCAGCACGGACUUCGGUCUGGUGGCGAGUGGCGAACGGGUGAGUAAUGUAUCGAACGUCAGUAAGUGGGGAUAACUACGCGAAAGCGUAGCCAAUACCGCAUACGCCCUUCGGGGGAAAGCGGGGGGACCUUCGGGCCUCGCACUAUUAGAGCGGCCGAUAUCGGAUUAGCUAGUUGGUGGGGUAACGGCUCACCAAGGCGACGAUCCGUAGCUGGUUUGAGAGGACGACCAGCCACACUGGGACUGAGACACGGCCCAGACUCCUACGGGAGGCAGCAGUGGGGAAUUUCGACAAUGGGGGAACCCUGAUCCAGCCAUCCCGCGUGUGCGAUGAAGGCCUUCGGGUUGUAAAGCACUUUUGGCAGGAAAGAAACGGCACGGGAUAAUACCCGUGCAACUGACGGUACCUGCAGAAUAAGCACCGGCUAACCACGUGCCAGCAGCCGUAAUACGUAGGGUGCAAGCGUUAAUCGGAAUUACUGGGCGUAAAGCGUGCGCAGGCGGUUCGAAAGAAAGAUGUGAAAUCCCAGAGCUUAACUUUGGAACUGCAUUUUUAACUACCGAGCUAGAGGUGUCAGAGGGAGGUGGAAUUCGCGUGUAGCAGUGAAAUGCGUAGAUAUGCGGAGGAACACCGAUGGCGAAGGCAGCCUCCUGGGAUAACACUGACACUCAUGCACGAAAGCGUGGGGAGCAAACAGGAUUAGACACCCUGGUAGUCCACGCCCUAAACGAUGUCAACUAGCUGUUGGGGCCUUCGGGCCUUGGUAGCGCAGCUAACGCGUGAAGUUGACCGCCUGGGGAGUACGGUCGCAAGAUUAAAACUCAAAGGAAUUGCACGGGACCCGCACAAGCGGUGGAUGAUGCGGAUUAAUUCGAUGCAACGCGAAAACCUACUCACUCCUUGACAUGUCUGGAAUCCCGAAGAGAUUUGGGAGUGCUCGUGCAAGAGAACCGGAACACAGGUGCUGCAUGGCUGUCGUCAGCUCGUCGUGAGAUGUUGGGUUAAGUCCCGCAACGAGCGCGCAACCCUUGUCAUUAGUUGCUACGAAAGGGCACUCUAAUGAGACUGCCGGUGACAAACUGGAGGAAGCGUGUACUAUCGCUCAAGUCCUCAUGGCCCUUAUGGUAGGGCUUCACAUCAAGUACAAUGGCUGGGACAGAGGGUCGCCAACCCGCGAGGGGGAGCCAAUCCCAGAAACCCGAUCGUAGUCCGGAUCGCAGUCUGCAACUCGACUGCGUGAAGUCGGAAUCGCUAGUAAUCGCGGAUCAGCAUGUCGCGGUGAAUACGUUCCCGGGUCUUGUACACACCGCCCGUCACACCAUGGGAGUGGGUUUUACCAGAAGUAGUUAGCCUAACCGUAAGGAGGGCGAUUACCACGGUAGGAUCUAUGACUGGGGUGAAGUCGUAAUAUGGUGCAA